AUGACAUUUGAAGGACUCGAGGCUGUGGAGAAGUUCUACAAGGAAUAUGCGCAUCAAUCAGGUUUUGGUGUUCGCAUUGGACAACAAAAAAAGAUUGAUAAUAAGGUGGUCCGUACUAAGCGUUUCAUGUGUAAUAGGGAAGGAUUCAAGGCAAAAGAUAGUAAAGAGACUAAUGACCCCUUGAGGAAAAGGCGUAAGCAGAUAGAUACGCGAUGCGGUUGUGAUGCCCAUAUCUUUGUUAGACUUUGUGGGGAGAACACCUACAAGAUAGACUCACUGAUUGAGCACCAUGUUCAUGGCCUUGUAUCGCCUAAUAAGCGUCAUUUGAUCAGAUCAAAUCGUAGAGUUAGUGAGAGGGCAAAAAAUACUUUAUACACAUGUCAUAAGGCAAGUAUUGGAACGUCGCAGGCAUACAGGCUCCUGCAAGUUAGUGAGGGUGGAAUUCCGAAUGCUGGGUGCACAAAGAGGGACUUGCAGAAUUACUACCGCGGACUCAGGUAUAAAAUCAGAGAUGCAGAUGCUCAAAUGUUUGUGGCCCAAUUAGCUAGAAAGCAGGAAGUGAAUUCAGCAUUUUUCUAUGAUUUUGAGGUGAAUGAUGAGGGGGAGUUGGUGCGUGUGUUCUGGGCGGAUGCCACCAGUAGGAAGAAUUAUAGUCACUUUGGUGAUGUGAUAUCCUUCGAUUCUACAUACACCACUAAUAAGUAUAACAUGAUAUUUGCACCAUUUACAGGGGUUAAUCAUCACUUACAAAGUGUCUUUUUUGGUGCUGCAUUCUUAUCAAAUGAGAAGGAUGAGUCAUACAUUUGGUUAUUUCAGACCUUCCUAACAGCAAUGGGAGGGGCAACACCUAGACUCAUCAUAACCGAUGACGCCACUAGCAUCAAGAAUGGUAUUGAUAAAGUUCUUCCAACAACUGUGCAUAGGUUGUGCAUGUGGCAUAUAAUGGAAAAGGUUCCUGAAAAGGUUGGACCUUCGAUUAGAGAAGAUUCUGAUUUUUGGACAAGAUUGAACUCGUGUGUUUGGGGUUCGGAAACUUCAACUGAGUUUGAGUCACAAUGGAAUUCCAUCAUUACUGAUUUUGGGUUGGAGGAAAAUGAGUGGUUGGCCAAGAGGUUUAGCAUUCGAGACACAUGGAUACCAGCGUACUUUAUGGAUAUAUCUCUAGCAGGCAUUCUUCGAACCACUUCAAGAUCAGAAAGUGCAAAUUCUUUUUUUAACCGCUUCAUUCAUCGAAGGCUCGCUUUUGUUGAGUUUUGGCUGAGGUUUGACACAACUUUAGAAUGCCAACGUGAGGAAGAAUUAAUGGCAGACAACAGAAGCAUACAUACCACCCCUCAACUAUUUACACCAUGGACAAUGGAGAAACAAGGUAGUGAGGUAUUCACAUAUGAGGUGUUCGAGAAACUUCAGCUACAGAUUAUUGCUGCUAGAGACCAUUGUUUUGUUCAGAGUAUUACACAAGGUGUGGGGGUAAAAAAUGUGACCCUGAGAGGUCGGUCUGGUAAAGUUAGGGAGGUUUGCUAUGACACUACAAGCAUGACAGCAAACUGUUCGUGCAAGUUGUUUGAGUCAGUCGGUUUUCCAUGUCGCCAUAUUAUCCAAGUGUUGAGGAUUGAAAACCAAAAUGAGCUUCCCAGCCACUACAUUAUGAAAAGAUGGCAGAAGAGGUGCAAAAGGGAGAAUGUUUAUGAUGAACAGGGAAACCUACUAGAAGAAAAACCCACGGAUGCACUGGAUGCGGCCACGAGAAAGAAGAUUUCAACUGUACGCAAUAAGAUGGAAGAACUUAUUCAAAAGGCGAAGCAUUCAGAUGAAGGCAUGGACUUCUUAACAUCAAGUGUUUUGAACAUUGAGGCGCCUUUGGACCAAAUGGUCCCUGCAGCUACCCAAAGCACUAGGCAAGAGGAAUAUGAGGCUUUUAUUGGUUGCAAUAUUCCAACCGAAGUUCAUAUACAUCCGCCAAUGGAUGUUCGUACCGUGGGAAGAUGCAAAAGAAUAAAGCAAGGAAAAGAGAUUAAGGAGGGGGAUCGGAAAAAUAAGGACAAAGAAAGGAAGGUAAAGGUCGCACGCUUGUGCAAGACGUGCAAGCAAAUGGUGUUUCAUGAUAGUCGUAAUUGUCCAAGCAAAAAAGGGAAAGGGAGUGUGAUUGUGCAAGAUAUGCAGCCAAAUAGUGCUUCCUGA
rnacentral:rRNA from 1 species